AGUGAACGCUGGCGGUAGGCCUAACACAUGCAAGUCGAACGGCAGCACAGUAAGAGCUUGCUCUUACGGGUGGCGAGUGGCGGACGGGUGAGGAAUACAUCGGAAUCUACUUUUUCGUGGGGGAUAACGUAGGGAAACUUACGCUAAUACCGCAUACGACCUACGGGUGAAAGCAGGGGAUCUUCGGACCUUGCGCGAUUGAAUGAGCCGAUGUCGGAUUAGCUAGUUGGCGGGGUAAAGGCCCACCAAGGCGACGAUCCGUAGCUGGUCUGAGAGGAUGAUCAGCCACACUGGAACUGAGACACGGUCCAGACUCCUACGGGAGGCAGCAGUGGGGAAUAUUGGGCAAUGGGCGCAAGCCUGACCGAGCCAUACCGCGUGGGUGAAGAAGGCCUUCGGGUUGUAAAGCCCUGUUGUUGGGAAAGAAAAGCAGCAGGUUAAUACCCCGCUGUUCUGACGGUACCCAAAGAAUAAGCACCGGCUAACUUCGUG
rnacentral:rRNA from 1 species